UACAUGGGGUGCAAACGUUGCUCGGAAUUAUUGGGCGUAAAGCGCACGUAGGCGGUUCGUUAAGUCGGAUGUGAAAGCCCUCGGCUCAACUGAGGAAGUGCACCCGAAACUGGCGAGCUUGAGUACGAAAGAGGAUCGCGGAAUUCCCGGUGUAGAGGUGAAAUUCGUAGAUAUCGGGAGGAACACCGGCGGCGAAGGCGGCGUCUGGGUCGAUACUGACGCUGAGGUGCGAAAGCGUGGGGAGCAAACAGG
rnacentral:rRNA from 1 species